rfam:Bifidobacterium reuteri DSM 23975 Contig03, whole genome shotgun sequence.
GGGCAAUUAGCUCAGUUGGUUAGAGCGCCACCUUUACACGGUGGAUGUCGGGGGUUCGAGUCCCUCAUUGCCCA